AGGCAGGAUCUGAAGAAGCGCCAGUUUUUGGGAGAAAUCGUGAAUGUAAACUCUACCCCUCCCAACCAGUUUUCCCCUCAGCUCCUCUCGCCUCCCUCUCUGCUCCAGCAAGCCCCGCCCACAAACAGACACUCCUGCUCGCUCAUGUCGUUUCAAUUACAUUCAGAUAUAAUGCAGAUAAUUACAAAUGGGGCCCAGUCAACGUGAAAGUAAAAAGCAUCGGUGCUACUGUAGAUGCCAACAGACUACCAGCAAACACGAUGUUUGCAGAACUUCUACAACUAGGAUAAAGUGACAUAGUCCAGGACCCGAGGUCAACAGUUCAGCGGCGUUACAACACACAGCAGGUCUCGUUUGACAAGAAACACUUCUGUUACAGACACUUGGCUUACUUUGUUAAAGCGGUUUACCUGUCCAGCAGAAAGGUUACGUAGGGUUCGUAAGAUCCCGAAGCGUCCCCCAUUUUAGGCUUUUUAGCUCUUGUCCGGUCUACCUCUGUUUUAAGCGCCCAUUAUUUCGCACAAGUCACGAGUCAUUUUAUUGCUUGUGUUUUCUGUACUUUCUUGUUGCUUUCUACUGUUCGAUAUUGUAGCACGCUAUCUUUGUUUGGUCUCGUACACGUUAUUCAAGGAUGUGGAGCGUUCCUCACAACCAAUCAGGUUGGGGGAGGCGGAGAAAAAGUGAGAAAAAGCGGGCCGCUCAAAAAAUUUUAAAUGUUGACUACGCAGACAUAACAAAACACAGCGAUAUCAUUGUAUUACCAAAUGUCAUUAAUAACUAAUAGUUAUGGACUGAUAUUAAAAGCUUUUUUGUAUACACCUUUAAGUUUUAAGUUAUUCACAAAGGCAAAUAAGCACAGUUUAUAAUCAUGGCAGAACUAUUUUUAAAAACAAUGAAUGCAUGGUUAAUAUGGUUUAAAAGUAAUGGGUAAGUGGUUUCCAAUAUAGUAACUUGUUAGUCAAAGACAUGAAUAAAUGGUUGGAAUAAAUUGCAAAAAAGAGAAACUGAAAUAAUCUUCCCCAAAGUUUUGGAAAGUCUUUCAUGACUUAAAACAUUGAGUUUUACUGUGAUGUCAGGGUCCAUCACCCUGACACCACAGAGCACAGACGCUUUACCAAACCAACUUCUACAUUCGACCAUUUUGUAAAAUCAGUCUAUUCUAAUAACAACUGCUUUAACAUCUCACUUUAUAUUAACUUAGUGUUGUAGGUGGUGAAGAGAUUCUUGAUUUCUUUGCAGUUGGGUUGAGAGGGUGAGGCAAAAACAUAUCGGUAAGUAACCCCUCCUAAUCCUGCUGUUUCUGAGUUGUUUUCAGGGAUAUUUUUGGUUUCUCCUGUGUUGCAUUUUUAGCUCCCUGAAAACUGUUGGGUUCAAGUUUUUUUUUUUUUUUUAAUGCUGAACACUGAUGUCAAAAAAUACCUCCUGGAUCUAUGACUAGGGUGGGACCUCGUUGCUCUGUCUGAGGAGGAGUAGACUUGUCACUUUGAAUUCAGUCUUGCAACUUUCAGCAGCACAGCAUUCAGUGUGAUCUUUAUUUUUAGCUCAGGAGCUCAAUGCAUAUAUCAGCACUGUACUGCGCAAGCACUGACACCCUCUCAUGCUCUCAUUCACAAGAAUCUCUUCAUAGUGUGUGUGUGUGUGUGUGUGUGUGUGUGAGAGAGAGAGAGGGAGAACGAGAGUGAGGGAGUGUGUGUGCGCACACAGGGAGGCAGGUCUUGGCUAAAGUUUAUUAACUUUCUCUUAGCCAAUGGGGCGCUUUGUGCGUUUUUCUUGCUGACCAAUGGGACAGAUUGAGAGGUUGGAGGUGGGUGUUGCUUAGCAACUGCAGGUAGAAUCUCAGAUCAUGUUGGACCCAUUGUUUUAUCUUGCCUCCCUGAGAGACAUAACAUGCUAUGUGUUGUGAUUUGUUAGUAAAAUAAAAAAAGAAAGCCUCAGUGCAAAUGCGUCACAAAGUUGUUAACUCUAUUUUUAUAUUGUUAAACAAAGAUCACAGUAACUUAAAUGGCUUUUUGCCCUUGAGUCAGAGCACUUUUAAUUGAUGGUUAUUACGUUACUGCGUGUCUCAUUUUCAUUGCAGAGUCACUGAAGCUCAUACAAGUGAAUUUGGAUUAAAUUAAUGUAUUUAAACCCUCGGUUAAAGGGAUUACCACCUUUGCUGAAACCUCGUGCAGAGUCAGAGGUGAGUGCUUACAAACAAAAACAACAGACAGGGCUGCUGAUUGCAAAAAUUCCAUGUGAAGAUUUCCUUUUGAAGCAUCUGAAAUAUUGAACCCUAUGUGCCCCUAGACACCACCACAUUAACACACACAUACACAAAGCACUGAUGCAACCAAUUAUGACUUAAUUAUAUUUCUGAUUCAAGAAACCUUGAGUGUUGGCCUCAGUGUGAUUGAGAGCGUGUUUUGUGGUUUUUGAAGGGUCUUUUUAUUUGUGCUUGGCCACAAAUGCAGAAGCUGACUACCACGAACAAAUAUAGGUAUAUGAUCCUACCUACAAUGUUCCUGACUGCCUCAAAGCAGCACGUCACAGCUGUGAACUUUUCAGCCCCUGUCUAAUUAGAUGACCUGAUAUCUUACAGCAAUAUGUCACUGUGGAACGACUCGCAGAGAGUUGACCAGCGGUACUGUCUGUCCUUUUACCCUAAUGGUGUCACUUUGGUCGAACCUUGGUUAGCCUAAACUUAUGUGAGUCACCUUUAAUUAUACAUGCUUAUGAUGCGCACGCUGCAGACUGUGUGUGUGUAUGUGGAAAUGCAUAUAAAGAUCAUUAAUACCUCACUUGAAAAAGGUGCUUUAAACUUGUAACGAGCAGCCUUGGUGACCAUUAUUCCAAGCUCCUCCACACUUCUCUUUAGGGCGGCACUGAUUUUGAUCAUUUUGAAAAGCUGUAAAACGAUAUAGUCUGUGUUCUUUAAAGUCCCACACCGAUCUUUUUUUAUUUUUGUUACUACUUAAAGUGUUCUCAGUGGUCUUUAAAUUGUGGUUAUGAAGUUUUUUCCUGUGUCAUUUUCAAGAGCUUUUCUUCUGCAGAGCUCGAGUAGCUCACUAACAAUCGCCUCUGAGUCAUUGGUGGAGACAGCGCUGCUCUGCGCACUUGUCUUCACGUUAGCUUGCAGCCUAACAUUGCCGGUGUAGUAGACGUAGCAGGUAAAAUAGGAGCAGGACAUGAUGAAAGCCAACAUCAUAGUUAGCUUUUUUACAAGCAUAGCAAUCGGCUAACGACACGCUUGUUCUGCGAUCAUCCUCUGUAUUUUUCCUCUAUAUGCCGAGUGUGGCCUGCAUAGCGGGGCUCCGGGGGCGGAGCUUGGAUUGGUUACAUAUGAAAUCUCACUGUUUCUGAACCUGCCGUUUUGGUCUGCCUGAGAUUCACAGCGAGUUGAAUCUAGAAAUACUCAGAAAAGCAAUUUCACGUUUAGUUGUCUCAUGAUAUGUCCUGUAGCAUCAGAAAAAUACCAUAUGAACGUAUAGAAAACAAGAAAAACAUGAUUUUCAUCAGAAUGGGUCUUUAAGUGUGCUGUGAUAAAGAAACAAAAUUUUGGCGCUCAGUCAAAAAUGUAGUAGUCAUUACAUGAGGUAGAAGUAAGUUGCUUUUACUCAUUGCCCUGCCGUGCUUAGCUUGAUGCAAAUACUCAAAAAGGGGUUAUGGAAAUUCCUGGGAUGCACCCUGGAUUUGUCAUGUAAAGCAGGGCUAGGGACAUGUUGUUUGCAGCCUGAAUAUUCGAGUCCAGUACAUCCAGCAUUGGAAAGCAAAGGGAGAGACAUGAGUGUAAAAUAGAUAUUAGACAUAGAUUCAUACAUACAAACUUGGAGAACAUUUGGGAGAUACGUUCACUCAAAACGCAGUCUGGUUUAAUGACUCUAGAUAAGGUAAGAACCUGUUAAGAAAUCUAAACUGCUGUUAAAUUAAGUUUUUGAUCACCUGAAUUUUCAGUUGAAAAGAAAAAGUGGUUCAUUUAAAAAAAAAAAUAAACAGCUAAGAUUGGUGCCGACUAUUUCAUUUGAAACAUUUGGUUCUGCUCUCUUGGAAAUCAAUCUUGAUGGCCUAACACCCUUUUUAACUGUUUUCUAUUUUCCACUUAACCUCUUAUCAAUAACUUUUGAAUCAACGGAUCAUUAGCAGAUUUUUCAUGUUUUUCAUCAGAAACAUGUCCUUUUUUUUUUUUUUAAAGGGUGUCUAAUUUUGUCUGUGGAAACAAGAGAAAAGUAGAAUAGAUGUUGGUUAAAGACAUCCAUCUUAAAGGACAACAUUUAAGACAUCGCAGAAAAAACUAGAUUAGACACACUGCAGACACCAAAGAGAAGCUUAUAUACUCAACAACUACAGCAGACACCAACUAUACAGAGCGCUUUAUUACGUCUUUAUCACCAUCAUUUCUCACCUCCCUGUUUGAAUGUUUUAAUAUUCUCCAUUUUGUUCAGUAAACAAGUUCAGUGGGAAUGCGGGAGCACACACACACCUGGCUCCCUUUAUCAAUACAUGGCUGACUGUUGGCAGGACCUUGUGCAGUGGUUAUUGUGGGGGAGGGGUGAGAUUUACAGUUGUGAAACAAUGUGACAUAAAAUCAGUACAGCUGUGAUGGCUCAGCAGUGUCCUUUGCUCCUUUACAAUCUCCUCCAGGAGUUUAUCCGAUGCCCACCUCAAAUGUACUGUAUGUAGCCUGAGGAUGACUCAUCCUCAGGAGAAUGAGCUGUAUGGCGCAGGUAGCCUUGCAAAUAAACAUUUCACGAUUUGCAGAGUCUACUGAAGUACUUUGCUGACUUACAGAGCAAACCCACAGACCACAUACACAGACCGUGACAAACGGAUGCUGUUUUAUUUUGCCUGAAAACCACUCAGGGUGAAAUCUCCGUCUGUGUUGUGCCUUUUGUGUCACACCAAAAACACAUGACGAUUCAUCACUUAAGGCUACGCACUAGAAUAUUUAGCCUUUUCCCUUUUGAAAGAGAAAAUUUGUCAUCAUUGCACCAAUUACCAUGGAGACAGGGUUUAGUCCCAAACCUACCGGAAUUAUACCGUGCAUGAGUGUACUCAUUACACCUCACUGCAACUUCCAGGAAAGACUGCACAGUGCGUGGACGUGUGACUCCACCUCUUAAGGAUGGUUAGGGAAUAUGCAGUCAUUCAAAUAAUCUUCGUUUCCCAGCAGGCUUUCACACCUGUUCCUUUCAAAUGUUGUGUGAAUCUGCGUAUGUCAAGUUUGCUUUUUCAUCUAGUUGCUUUAUUAUUCAUGGCAUUAAAGGUAUAUACCGGUUUAAAAUUAAGUUAGGGUCAAACACACCCCCUCGAGAGAUGAAUGUUGCCGACAGCUUGCUUCUCUAGUUAUACCAACUUUAGUAAUGAAGCAGAUAGCAAUACAGAGAGCCACACACUCAACCAAAGCGCCACUCUAUAGC